AUUGAACGCUGGCGGCGUGCUUAACACAUGCAAGUCGAUCGGUAACGCGGGGGCAACCCUGGCGACGAGAGGCGGACGGGUGAGGAACGCUUGGGAAUCUGCCCAUCAGCGGGGGACAACCCGGGGAAACCCGGGCUAAUACCGCAUACGCUCUACGGAGGAAAGCCGGGGACCGCAAGGCCUGGCACUGAUGGAUGAGCCCAAGUCGGAUUAGCUAGUUGGCGGGGUAACGGCCCACCAAGGCGACGAUACGUAGCUGGUCUGAGAGGACGAUGUGCCACACUGGGACGGAGAAACGGCCCAGACUCCAACGGGAGGCAGCAGUGGGGAAUAUUGGACAAUGGGGGAAACCCUGAUUCAGCGACGCCGCGUGGGUGAAGAAGACCUGCGGGUUGUAAAGCCCUUUCGGUAGGGACGAAAGCUCUCGACCUAACACGUCGGGAGGAUGACUUAACCUACAAAAGAAGCACCGGCUAACUCUGUGCCAGCAGCCGCCGUAAGAC
rnacentral:rRNA from 1 species